CCGACGGUGAGGGAUGAAAGCUGGGGGAGCAAACCGGAUUAGAUACCCGGGUAGUCCCAGCUGUAAACUAUGCAAACUCAGUGAUGCAUUGGCUUGUGGCCAAUGCAGUGCUGCAGGGAAGCCGUUAAGUUUGCCGCCUGGGAAGUACGUACGCAAGUAUGAAACUUAAAGGAAUUGGCGGGGGAGCACCACAAGGGGUGAAGCCUGCGGUUCAAUUGGAGUCAACGCCAGAAAUCUUACCCGGAGAGACAGCAGAAUGAAGGUCAAGCUGAAGACUUUACCAGACAAGCUGAGAGGUGGUGCAUGGCCGUCGCCAGCUCGUGCCGUGAGAUGUCCUGUUAAGUCAGGUAACGAGCGAGAUCCCUGCCUCUAGUUGCCACCAUUACUCUCAGGAGUAGUGGGGCGAAUUAGCGGGACCGCCGCAGUUAAUGCGGAGGAAGGAAGGGGCCACGGCAGGUCAGUAUGCCCCGAAACUCUGGGGCCACACGCGGGCUGCAAUGGUAACGACAAUUGGUUUCGAAUCCGAAAGGAUGAGGUAAUCCUCAAACGUUACCACAGUUAUGACUGAGGGCUGCAACUCGCCCUCACGAAUAUGGAAUCCCUAGUAACUGCGUGUCAUUAUCGCGCGGUGAAUACGUCCCUGCUCCUUGCACUCACCGCCCGU
rnacentral:rRNA from 1 species